rnacentral:lncRNA from 1 species
CUGACCUCCGUGUCCAGCCGCGAAGGCAUUUUCUGUUUUACGAGUCGCGGUGAGCAGAGAGCCAGCAGGGCAGAUCGAGUGUCCUUCCCUCCAUCUGGAAAAGUCCCAGGGAGCCCCUGUCCUGCCCCACAGGUGGAGACAGGACCAAGGCAGGGGUCUGGAUCGUCAGCUCGUGCCCCAACAGACCAGCUUCCCAGAAGAAUUUUGUAGAAAAUCCCUGGAACUUAAGGCUGCACUGAGGUCUUUGUCCCUUGCCUCUGGAUGCAGACCCAGGUGAUCUGUGGGGACACUGGAGAGAGGAGGGACUCAGAGGCUGCUCGCUCACGGUGCUGCUCCACCAUCUCACCCUGGGGUACCCAGCUCACUGCUGGCUGAUGAGCUUUCCCCUCCUGCACACUAAUAAAGUGUUUUAAUUGAGAUUUGAACUGCUCUCAGCUCUAGAAAAUUGGGACAAGCUUCCCUGUAGAGAAGACAGAUAUCUCCCCUCUGACUUCCCACCACUUGUCUCAGGUGUCAGACUGACUUUGUCUUUAAUAAAUACCUAAACUAGGAAGAGAAUCUGAAAGCCCAUGGGAAGGGAUCGAAUUAUCCUGUGGCUCAGGUGAGGAGGAGAAAAAAGGUCUGGCAGAAGGUUUCCAUAUGUGACACCACCUUUCUGAAAGUAUUUGGUAAGAAGAAAUUAAGUCAGCAGAAAAAAUGGUCACAAAGCCCAGCUGCCAAAUAUUUCCAUUACAGAGAGCUCUCAGUCAAGUGUCUGCAGACAUAAUGAACAGGAACUGCAGCCAAGCCCACAGAAAAUUGGGGACAAUUCACUGGGAAGUUCACAGGACAGGCUGCAGCUCAUUUAUCCUUGCUCAAGGUGGUUGCUGUUCACAGCUGAGUCUCCUGAGAGGAUUAGCAAUACAACUAAUGAAGACUAAUAAUGCAGGCCUUUGUCAGCAAACUGAAAGCCACCAGCUGGAAGAUAUCCCACACCACAUCUUGAAGCAGCCAUCACAGUGUCUGCAAGCUUGACAUGUCCUUCCCUCCUCUGAGCACCUUGUGACAGCACAGCAAAUAAACCAGCUCCUGUGUGUGUUUAGAUUGUACUC